GGUUAUAUAAACGAGAACUUUUCACUUCAACAUUUAUUCUAGCUUUGCAAUUGAUCGCUGAGACUUACAGUAGUUGUCGAGUUAUAUUUUUCAAAGAAUUAGCACCGAGGUUGUUUGCAGUCAAGCCGUUUUUUAUAAGGAAACUGAGAAGAGAUGUUUUCUGCAAUUCUUUGUCUUGCGUUUCUGGUCCUCUGCUUUGAUUCCACACACGCAGGGUCUCAUGGGAUGGGUUCACAGUUGACCAGGCCUUCACAAGGCGAUAGUCCCACACAGCUUCCACAGUGUUCUGCAUUGUCUUCACCNUGGUGUUUAUACUCCCGACUUUUACGAGAGCGUCGUCGAGAGCGUCUAGAGUUGUGUCAGCGGUUACCAGUUAGGAAUUGAUAAAACAGCCAGUCAAUAUCGCAAUUAUAAUGUGNAAUGUCGUCUUUUUAUUUCUAAUUUCGCUAUAAUUUAUCUGCAUGUAAUUUCCUAAGCUAUGAUACGAUUAAAAUCAACAGCAACUGA
rnacentral:lncRNA from 1 species